rnacentral:rRNA from 1 species
UACGGAGGGUGCAAGCGUUGUCCGGAUUUAUUGGGCUUAAAGGGUGCGUAGGCGGCUUUUUAAGUCAGUGGUGAAAGCCAACAGCUCAACUGUUGAACUGCCAUUGAUACUGAGAAGCUUGAGUACAGACGAGGUAGGCGGAAUUUAUGGUGUAGCGGUGAAAUGCAUAGAUACCAUAAAGAGCACCGAUUGCGAAGGCAGCUUACUAGGCUGUAACUGACGCUGAGGCACGAAAGCGUGGGGAUCAAACAGG